rnacentral:rRNA from 1 species
AACGAACGCUGGCGGCGUGCCUAACACAUGCAAGUCGAACGCGAAAGGGGGCAACCCCCGGUAGCGUGGCAGACGGGUGAGUAACACGUGGGUAACCUACCCGGAGGUGGGGGAUAACCCUUCGAAAGGAGGGCUAAUACCGCAUAAUACCGUGGGGACCUCGGUCCUUGCGAUCAAAGCUGGCCUCUGUUUACAAGCUAGCGCCACCGGAUGGGCCCGCGCCCCAUUAGCUAGUUGGUGAGGUAACGGCUCACCAAGGCGACGAUGGGUAGCCGGCCUGAGAGGGCGAUCGGCCACACUGGAACUGCGACACGGUCCAGACUCCUACGGGAGGCAGCAGUGAGGAAUCUUGCACAAUGGGCGAAAGCCUGAUGCAGCGACGCCGCGUGCGGGAUGACGGCCUUCGGGUUGUAAACCGCUUUCAGCAGGGACGAUUAUGACGGUACCUGCAGAAGAAGCCCCGGCCAACUACGUGCCAGCAGCCGCGGUAAUACGUAGGGGGCAAGCGUUGUCCGGAUUUAUUGGGCGUAAAGAGCUCGUAGGCGGUUUGGUAAGUCUGGUGUGAAAUCUCCACGCUCAACGUGGAGGGGCCACCCGAUACUGCCAUGACUGGAGUCCGGUAGAGGAGUGUGGAAUUCCCGGUGUAGCGGUGAAAUGCGCAGAUAUCGGGAGGAACACCCGUAGCGAAGGCGGCACUCUGGGCCGGUACUGACGCUGAGGAGCGAAAGCGUGGGGAGCAAACAGGAUUAGAUACCCUGGUAGUCCACGCCGUAAACGUUGGGCACUAGGUGUGGGGCUC